rnacentral:rRNA from 1 species
UUCUUAAUGGUGAAAUAUUAAGUAUCUUCUGCUCAAUGGUUAUAAAUAGCUGCAAUAGGCACUAAGGUAGCAUAAUAAAUUGUCUUUUUAUUGAAGACUGGAAUGAAUGAAGGAAUGGGGAUUUACUUUCUUGAUAUUAAUGAUUUGAAUUUUAAUUUUUAGUAAAAAUGCUAAGAUUUUAUUUAGUGACAAUAAGACCCUACGAAGCUUUAUAAUUUAUAUAAUUGGAAAAAAUUAUUGUGUUGGGGCAACAUUCUAAGAUAUUGAGUUUAGAAAUGAAUAUUAUUAUAAUUUAUAUUAAUGAUCCACAAUUUGUGAAUAUUAGCAUAAGUUACUCUAGGGAUAACAGCAUAAUUAAAUUAGAAAGUACGUAUUGAUAAUUUAGAUUAUGACCUCGAUGUUGAAUUAAUAUUACUAUAAGGUGAAGGAGCUUUAUUAAUUAGUCUGUUCGACUAUAAAAAUAUUACA